GGCCCAGCGAUAUGCUACAGCAACAAUGCCUUAUCCUCUCCGCUACUCCAUCCUCCACAUUCUUCGUCUCCACAGCAACCACACAUAAGAUUUCUUUAUCCAUUUCUUCAUCUUCAUUUUCUUUUUAUGCUUAUUCUUGGCUUUGUUCGGCCUCUGUGCGAUUCGGUACGCAGAGGUCUCUUUUGCCGUAUCCUUCUCACUCUCCGAGUGUGACAGUCAUGGCGGAGAUGGUUCGGGACAAGGAGUCUGCCAACAAGAAUGUGGCGUCCUAUCGCGGAGAGAGGACGAACGAGCCGAGCCUCUCGCGCACCUUUCUCGAUGCGAGCUCUGAAGAAGAGCUGCUGGCAGGAAUCAAGAAGGAAAGAGAAGCAGGAAGACUGCCUUCAAAUGUUGCUAUGGGGAUGGAAAUAUUGUAUCGCAAUUAUAAAAAAGCGGUUUUCCAAAGUGGAAAUCCAAGGGCUGAUGAGAUAGUGUUGUCAAAUAUGACUGUUGUGCUAGAUCGCAUAUUUUUCGAUGUUGAGGAACCUUUUGACUUCUCACCAUAUCACAAAGCACUGCGAGAGCCUUUCGACUACUACUUAUUUGGUCAAAACUAUAUUCGUCCUUUAGUUGAUUUCAGAACUUCAUAUGUUGGCAACAUUUCCCUCUUCUAUGAGAUGGAAGAGAAGCUUCAGCAGGGUCACAAUAUUGUCUUGAUGUCAAACCACCAAACUGAAGCAGACCCAGCUAUCAUUGCAUUGUUACUUGAAGCAAGAUACCCACAUAUUGCUGAGAGCAUGACCUAUGUAGCAGGGGAUAGAGUUCUGAUAGAUCCUCUUUGCAAGCCCUUCAGCAUGGGAAGGAAUCUUAUUUGUGUGUACUCGAAAAAGCACAUGUAUGAUGCUCCUGAGCUGGUUGAGAUGAAAAGAAAAGCAAACACGCGAAGUUUGAAGGAAAUGGCUUUACUUUUAAGGGGUGGAUCACAAAUAAUAUGGAUUGCACCAAGUGGUGGUAGGGAUCGACCAGAUCUUCACACAAAAGAAUGGUAUCCAGCACCCUUUGAUGUUUCUUCAGUGGACAAUAUGAGAAGGCUUGCAGAACAUUCUGGUACUCCUGGGCAUAUAUACCCAUUAGCAUUAUUGUGUCAUGACAUAAUGCCGCCUCCACCCCAGAUAGAAAAAGAAAUUGGAGAGGAAAGAGUCAUCUCCUUUCAUGGGGUUGGCUUAUCAGUGGCACCAGGCAUCAACUUCUCUGAAAUUGCUGCUGUCUGUGAGAACCCUGAAGAGCAGGCUAAAGAGGCAUACACAAAAGCGCUAUAUAAUUCUGUGACUGAGCAAUACAAUGUUCUCAAAUCUGCUAUACAUGGUAAACAAGGACUAUCGGCAUCUAUUCCAAGUGUUUCCUUGUCACAGCCAUGGUAUCAGUGAACCUUUAUAGCAAGGAUUAUUAUUGUGGUAAUGUCUCUUCAUCUCAAAGUGCAACUCAGGCAUCUACUUCAACUGGCUGCUCUCCAACUAAAGUGUAUUGUAAUCCAGGGGCUUUCUUCUUGAACAUAAUUUCUCAAUUCAACCAAAUGGCUGCUGGCCCUGCAAAACAAGUAGUAUUCAGUGUGAGAGGAAGCCUAUCUCUCCAUGUCCAAUGACUUGAUGGAAGUACCAUCUAUCACCUUGUCUUUUUCUCUGCAUAUGCAGAUAUGCUCUGGUGCAACUGAAUUCAUCGAUCAGAAACUGGAAUUUUCAGAAGUUCAAUUUUGCAGUAUCAGGCACUGGAGGGAAGAUCAGUUUCAGGCAUUUGCUGUACAGAUCUGUAUUAAAUUGUUGUAAGAAGACUUCAGACAGCUGUUAUAGGUAAUGAAUGUGUAUAUUCUGCUCAUAUUAUAUUUUAUGUGUACCAUAAAUCAGAUAUCAAACAAACCUCUCCGUGUUCCUAAUCCUUUUUUGAAAUAAGAGAUCUUAAAACUUUCAGUUUGCA